UAGGUUCCUCCGCCUCACUGGCAGUGAUUGACAGGCCGAGUGGCGUACAAAUACAGCUAGGAUGAGAUCAUGCGCCCCUUAUGCUUCCGGCGAGUGACUUCCGGUUCGUGUUGGUGCGGUGAAUUGUUUGGCGUGGUGUGUACGGCGCGCCUCUGUGUCCUGUCUCCGCUACUAUCAGCGCAACUGGUGCGGCUGCAGGCUGGGAGAGCGGAGCGCUCCGCGUCGGGGGUUGCCUAGGUGACAGUCGGUACUCUCUGUGAGGUGCUGUGGGUCGACACGUGCGGCAGCCCAACUCCCUGGUGGUGGUAUCUUUUCACGAGUCCGUGUUUGGUGUGUUGUGGCACGGGUGGUGUUGUGUUGGAUUUGCCCUUUUUGAUUUUCUGCCGCUGUGGUAAGCCCCAGUCCUGUUUUUAUAUUGAUUAUUGGUUGUGCCUUUGGAAGCAUUGUUUUAUUGUUAGGUAACGUUAUAUGUUAAAUAAAAUAUAUUUUGUAACAUAGAACCCGUUCUCUG